rnacentral:rRNA from 1 species
AUUGAACGCUGGCGGCAGGCUUAACACAUGCAAGUCGAGCGGAGACUUCGGUCUUAGCGGCGAACGGGUGAGUAAUACCUAGGAAUCUGCCUAUUAGUGGGGGAUAACGAAUCGAAAGGUUCGCUAAUACCGCAUACGUCCUACGGGAGAAAGGGGGGAGUCUUCGGACCUCUCGCUAAUAGAUGAGCCUAGGCCGGAUUAGCUAGUUGGUAGGGUAAAGGACCUACCAAGGCGACGAUCUGUAGCUGGUCUGAGAGGAUGAUCAGCCACACUGGGACUGAGACACGGCCCAGACUCCUACGGGAGGCAGCAGUGGGGAAUAUUGGACAAUGGGCGCAAGCCUGAUCCAGCAAUGCCGCGUGUGUGAAGAAGGCCUGCGGGUUGUAAAGCACUUUCAGUGGGGAAGAACAGAUUCGGGUCAAUACCCCGGAGCCUGACGUUACCCACAGAAGAAGCACCGGCUAACUCCGUGCCAGCAGCCGCGGUAAUGUAGUCCGUGU